rnacentral:rRNA from 1 species
GACGAACGCUGGCGGCGUGCCUAAUACAUGCGAGUCGAGCGGACGAAUCGAAAGCUUGCUUUUGAUUCGUUAGCGGCGGACGGGUGAGUAACACGUGGGCAACCUGCCCUGUAGACGGGGAUAACACCGAGAAAUCGGUGCUAAUACCGGAUAACACGAAAUGUCGCAUGAUGUUUCGUUGAAAGACGGCGCAAGCUGUCGCUACAGGAUGGGCCCGCGGCGCAUUAGCUAGUUGGUGAGGUAACGGCUCACCAAGGCGACGAUGCGUAGCCGACCUGAGAGGGUGAUCGGCCACACUGGAACUGAGACACGGCCCAGACUCCUACGGGAGGCAGCAGUAGGGAAUCUUCCGCAAUGGACGAAAGUCUGACGGAGCAACGCCGCGUGAGCGAAGAAGGCCUUCGGGUCGUAAAGCUCUGUUGUUAGGGAAGAACAAGUAACGCAGUAACUGGCGUUACCGUGACGGUACCUAAAGAGAAAGCCACGGCUAACUACGUG